CCAACGGCCUUUUUAAAGGCCACCACAAUUUACAAAGAGCAUACAAU
rfam:Orchesella cincta Ocin01_Sc6733, whole genome shotgun sequence.